rnacentral:rRNA from 1 species
GACGAACGCUGGCGGCGUGCUUAACACAUGCAAGUCGAACGCGAAAGCCCUCCGGGGUGAGUAGAGUGGCGAACGGGUGAGUAACACGUGGGCAACCUGCCCCAAGGAGCGGGACAACCCGAGGAAACUCGGGCUAAUACCGCAUGAUUCGCCGGCACCUAAGUGCCGGCGGCAAAUGGUAGCUUCGGCCUCCGCCUUGGGAUGGGCCCCCGGCGCAUUAGCUUGUUGGUGAGGUAAUGGCUCACCAAGGCGACGAUGCGUAGCUGGUCUGGGAGGACGAUCAGCCACACUGGGACUGAGACACGGCCCAGACUCCUACGGGAGGCAGCAGUGGGGAAUCUUGCGCAAUGGGCGGAAGCCUGACGCAGCAACGCCGCGUGUGGGAAGACGGCCUUCGGGUUGUAAACCACUUUCAGGGGGGACGAAGCUUCCAGGGUUAAUAGCCCAUGGGGUGACGGUACCCCAGAAGAAGCCCCGGCUAACUACGUGCCAGCAGCCGCAGUAA